rnacentral:rRNA from 1 species
GUGCCAGCACCGCGGUAAUACGAAGGGGCUAGCGUUGCUCGGAAUUACUGGGCGUAAAGGGCGCGUAGGCGGCUUCAUUAGUCAGGCGUGAAAAUCCUGGGCUUAACCUGGGGACUGCGCUUGAUACGGUGAGGCUUGAGGAUGGAAGAGGCUCGUGGAAUUCCCAGUGUAGAGGUGAAAUUCGUAGAUAUUGGGAAGAACACCGGUGGCGAAGGCGGCGAGCUGGUCCAUUACUGACGCUGAGGCGCGACAGCGUGGGGAGCAAACAGGAUUAGAUACCCUGGUAGUCC